CAAAGAAACGCCAGCAUAAAGCCUGAAGUACCACAGCUGCCAGAAACACCGAGCCUGGAAGUUCAGAGUUAACUUAAAGAUCGACUCCACCGUUUAUAAAAUAUUCCGAACGUGCCGUUAAACUGCUCACACAGCCAUAACUUUGCUCCUCUGCGCUCCAGUUUUCUGUUUGCUCCUCGUACCUAUAACAGUUCUAGAAAUCGCAACAGACGAGAAAAAUUGCAAUGGCAGAGUCAUUGCGUUUCUGUACAAGUUGUGUUGGCCUAGGGAUUUUUCUGAGAAUUACCGAUGGUAUCUUCUGAAGCCAGAAUGGGAGAGCAGUCCAGUCAGGAGUGCAGCCAGAACUCUGAAAGUAAGAGGGCUUGAAAUCAAGAUGCCAGAGAUACAUGUUUCUUGGACCCGAAGGCAAAGUUAGUAUGUCUGGUGUCUACAGUUUCACCAUUAGCUUCCUCUGUGUUAACUGGAAUAAUUUAAAACUUCUGCUGGUUCUAAACCAGGAGCAUCAGUGCUGAUGACUGCCAACUCGGUAUUUCUUUAGUUAUGCUCAGAAUACUCUGAAUUAUUCAGUAAACACCCCGUGUCAAAAAUGUCUGGCAAUGGUCCCUUUCAUCCUCUGUCAUCAUUUUGACUACAUCUAACCCACAUUGCAUGGUAGAGACACCCAGCUUAGUUCCAGGCUCAGCAGCACAGAUGGAGCCUGUGAUAAUUCAAUAGUGGUGGUAUUUUGUCUUCAUCUUCAACCGGGAUCUGACAUGUUCUCUGCUUACAGUAGCUGCUGAAGGGAGCUUAGGUUAAUGUGUAUAAUAAUUGGUUCUUUGAACAGUUGGGCACAGUCUCAAUCAGUUCCAGUUUCAGUAUCAGAUUUCUUUUAAUCAGAGAGAAGUACAGUGUUUCUCAGAUGCUCUGAAUGCACUGAAAUUGUUUGGGAAGAAAAUGCUUUUAGCAAUGCAAUGUGGAAGCAAAUGUUCCAUGUUAUAAAUAACAUGUGAUUAGACAAAUACACUAAGCUCAUAGAGCUUAUUUGUGUUGAAUUGUGUCAGGAUGUACUAUGGACUUUUGUGCCCUGAUUCCAAUGAUCUCAUUCUUCUGGGACAGCAUAUAUUUAAGGUAAAACAUACUAGUUUAAAUGUAGCAUAAAUACAUAUAGAAAAUUAACUGUUUUCUUUACCGAAUUCAAAAUCUCUACUACCUAUUAUGUACAACAUGAAAAAAUGAAUCUCUAUUUAGGCCAUUAUUGGUGGCCAAAAAUGUUUUUAAAAUAUUAGAUGUAUCCAGCCCCUCUUUUUUAAAUUUACGUGAUAU